rnacentral:rRNA from 1 species
GACGAACGCUGGCGGCGUGCCUAAUACAUGCAAGUCGAGCGGACUGAAUGGGAGCUUGCUCUUGUUCGGUCAGCGGCGGACGGGUGAGUAACACGUGGGCAACCUGCCCGCAAGACCGGGAUAACUCCGGGAAACCGGAGCUAAUACCGGAUAACACCGAAGACCGCAUGGUCUUUGGUUGAAAGGCGGCGCAAGCUGCCACUUGCGGAUGGGCCCGCGGCGCAUUAGCUAGUUGGUGAGGUAACGGCUCACCAAGGCGACGAUGCGUAGCCGGCCUGAGGGGGUGACCGGCCACAAUGGGACUGAGACACGGCCCAGACUCCUACGGGAGGCAGCAGUAGGGAAUCUUCCGCAAUGGGCGAAAGCCUGACGGAGCGACGCCGCGUGAGCGAAGAAGGCCUUCGGGUCGUAAAGCUCUGUUGUGAGGGACGAAGGAGCGCCGUUUGAAGAAGGCGGCGCGGUGACGGUACCUCACGAGGAAGCCCCGGCUAACUACGUG